rnacentral:rRNA from 1 species
AUUGAACGCUGGCGGCAGGCUUAACACAUGCAAGUCGAACGGUAGCGGGCCUUCGGGUGCCGACGAGUGGCGAACGGGUGAGUAAUGUAUCGGAACGUACCAUUGAGUGGGGGAUAACGUAGCGAAAGUUACGCUAAUACCGCAUAUUCUCUCCGGAGGAAAGCAGGGGACCGCAAGGCCUUGCGCUCUUUGAGCGGCCGAUAUCAGAUUAGCUAGUUGGUGAGGUAAAGGCUCACCAAGGCGACGAUCUGUAGCGGGUCUGAGAGGAUGAUCCGCCACACUGGAACUGAGACACGGUCCAGACUCCUACGGGAGGCAGCAGUGGGGAAUUUUGGACAAUGGGGGCAACCCUGAUCCAGCCAUGCCGCGUGAGUGAAGAAGGCCUGGUGUAAGACUCUUCGUCGGACGAAGUACGUAUCAGCUAAUACCUA